ensembl:lncRNA chromosome partition protein Smc
AUGGAUCCCUCUUCGGCCACGAAAGCCACACUGAAAGUCCUGGGCCUCUGCUUCAUCCUCCUGCUCCUGGUGGCCGCCGUGACGGUCUCCGUGGCCGUCCUGGUGAGGCACUCGGAGGCCACCCGCCAGCUGAGAGGGUGCCAGGAGAGGGCCGCCAACGAGACGGGGGCCCUGGCCGACCGGGUGGCCGAGCUGGAGCGCGAGAGAGCCCAGCGGGGCAAGCAGUUGGAGAAGCUGGCCCAGCGGGAGAAGGACCUCCAGAGGCAGCUCGGCCAGGCCAAGGAAAGCCGGAAGAGGCUCAACGCCACCGUGAUGGGCUGCCUGGAGAACGUGACCCGGUUGGAUGCCAACCUAUCGGCCCUCCAGAACGAGAUGUUCACCCUCCAGGCUGAAGGAAUGGAUGUGAACAGUCAGAAUGGGGCCCUCCUAGCGGAAAUGGCCCAGUGGCGUGAGCAGGUGACGGGACUCGAAGGCCGGCUGGCGGGCGCCGUGGAUGCGCGAGAUGCCGCCGAGGCCGAGAAGGAGGCCUGCAACGCCAGGCAGGAUGCGCUCCAAGAAAGCCUGCAGAGCUACCUGGCUGAGAUCGCCUCCCUCCAGCGCCGCCUCCAGGGCCGGUCCUCGCCCUCGUCCUCGUCCCGCCGCAGGUGCCCCCCCUUCCGGUACUUAUUCUGGGGGCUGGUGACCCUUUGCGCUCUGUUCCCCCUUGUAAGUUGGAGAGGAAAGAGCGGGUGUGUGCAGGGAGGGGGGUGAGAGCACAAGAGGGAAUAUGAGGGGCUCCAUGUUGGGCACUCAAAAAGGGGCCCCGUGUUAAUUAGUCUUCAGAGUAACACAGGGCUCUGCUGAAGUGGUACUCUUCAAAGUAACACAGAGCUCUGUUCACCUAGUAGUUUUCAAAGUGACACAGGAUUCUUUCAUUCUUCAUCUAACAGACUGAGACAACCCUCUUGCCUCCCAGAUUUCAUAAAUCUGUUAGCUUUCCAGGUAUCACUGAACUUCUAGUUGUCUCUCCAGCUGACGAACAAGGCCUCCCAGUUCGGAAACGACUGCGUAUAAAAGGUCUGAGGCUUCAAUCCUGUAGUCUGUUCAGUUCUCUGAGAGUAAAUCCAUUAAACUCCACGAAACGUACUUCUGAGUAGACCUUUUUAGGACAGCAGGCUUUCUGGAUUCAUGGGAUUAAGCAUCCCUGGAAGCUGAGGCCAUAAUGAUUAUGUCAGCCUUCAGAGUCACACAAGGUUCUUCACUACCUAUGCAGUUAUUUCUAGCCCCUUUUCGGGAACUGUGGGUUGCUGUUUUUUAACUAUAAUUUUAAUUAUUUUCCAGGAAGGGCUGAGCUUUCUCCUCUAGUCUAGAGGACCUAAACGGUGCCUUUGACGGGCAGGAGAUGAGGAAACGGUGUUUUUCUUCACCCAUUGUCUUCAAGGAUGAGGAGACCCACUCCAGAUCUGCUGGGAUAUUACACUUUCAAGAAAGAACCAAGAGGGAGAAAAAUUCAGGGUGCUCCUAACCAUCAAAACAAGACAAUUUUAAAAAAAUGUGUUGGAAUGUAACUUUCCAAUGAAUUAAAAUUUAUGAAUUUUUUUCCUGUCAAGUUGGAUGUUUUUUUUAAAAAAAAUUCAAUCUCAGGGUUGCAAAGAAGGAACACCGCCAUUUAAUAUAUAUAUAUGUUAUCAUUUUUACGGCUUUUUUCCCCUCCUUGAAUCAGCUCCACUUGUCCAGGGCUCUUCUGCCUGAUUCGCCCUCUGAACAGCCC